CAUGGUGGAGUAUCAUGGCAGCCAGGAGUGAGGAGAGGGAGCUAGGAACAAGAUACAGUCCCCAAGGUCCUGUCCCCAUGACUCACUUCCUUCAACUAGGCCUCACCUCCUGAGU
rnacentral:miRNA from 1 species